rnacentral:rRNA from 1 species
GGAGCUUGCUCUGGUGGCGAGUGGCGAACGGGUGAGUAAUAUGUCGGAACGUACCCUGGAGUGGGGGAUAACGUAGCGAAAGUUACGCUAAUACCGCAUACGAUCUAAGGAUGAAAGUGGGGGAUUCGCAAGAACCUCAUGCUCCUGGAGCGGCCGAUAUCUGAUUAGCUAGUUGGUAGGGUAAAAGCCUACCAAGGCAUCGAUCAGUAGCUGGUCUGAGAGGACGACCAGCCACACUGGAACUGAGACACGGUCCAGACUCCUACGGGAGGCAGCAGUGGGGAAUUUUGGACAAUGGGCGCAAGCCUGAUCCAGCAAUGCCGCGUGCAGGAAGACAGCCCUCUGGGUCGUAAACUGCUUUUAUUCGGGAAUAAACCUUAUUACGUGUAAUAAGCUGAAUGUACCGAAGGAAUAAGGAUCGGCUAACUC